rnacentral:rRNA from 1 species
UACGGAGGAUCCAAGCGUUAUCCGGAAUCAUUGGGUUUAAAGGGUCCGUAGACGGUUUAAUAAGUCAGUGGUGAAAGCCCAUCGCUCAACGGUGGAACGGCCAUUGAUACUGUUAAACUUGAAUUAUUAGGAAGUAACUAGAAUAUGUAGUGUAGCGGUGAAAUGCUUAGAGAUUACAUGGAAUACCAAUUGCGAAGGCAGGUUACUACUAAUGGAUUGACGCUGAUGGACGAAAGCGUGGGUAGCGAACAGG